UACAGAGGUCCCAAGCGUUGUUCGGAUUCACUGGCGUAAAGGGUGCGUAGGUGGCCAGGUAAGUUUGGUGUGAAAGCUCGGAGCUUAACUCCGAAAAGUCAUUGAAUACUAUCUGGCUGGAGGGUCGGAGGGAGACUGGAAUUCUCGGUGUAGCAGUGAAAUGCGUAGAUAUCGAGAGGAACACCAGUGGCGAAGGCGAGUCUCUGGACGACUCCUGACACUGAGGCACGAAAGCUAGGGGAGCAAACAGG
rnacentral:rRNA from 1 species